rnacentral:rRNA from 1 species
UGCAGCGACGCCGCGUGAGGGAUGACGGCCUUCGGGUUGUAAACCUCUUUCACCAGGGACGAAGCGAAAGUGACGGUACCUGGAGAAGAAGCACCGGCCAACUACGUGCCAGCAGCCGCGGUAAUACGUAGGGUGCGAGCGUUGUCCGGAAUUACUGGGCGUAAAGAGCUCGUAGGCGGUUUGUCGCGUCGUUCGUGAAAACUUGGGGCUUAACUCCAAGCGUGCGGGCGAUACGGGCAGACUUGAGUACUACAGGGGAGACUGGAAUUCCUGGUGUAGCGGUGAAAUGCGCAGAUAUCAGGAGGAACACCGGUGGCGAAGGCGGGUCUCUGGGUAGUAACUGACGCUGAGGAGCGAAAGCGUGGGUAGCGAACAGGAUUAGAUACCCUG